rnacentral:tRNA from 1 species
GGGGGAUUAACUCAGUGGUCAGAGUGGCUGCCUGUUAAGCAGCUGGUCAUAGGUUCAAAUCCUAUAUCCCCCGCCA